UACACGGAAGGAUUUGUGUAAGGACGGUUUUGUGUAAGGAGCCGCUUGUGAUAAUAUUAUUAAUCAAUAUUUAUAGAGAUCUUCAUUGACACAUACCUACUUAAAAAGCUGUGUAUAUUUCUCAUAGCUCUCAAUUCUUCGAAACUAAGUCCUUAAAAAAUAAAUUGUAUAUAUUGUGCCAAUAAAGUGUAAUUGUGAAGUAUAUAAAAUAAGACAGGAUAUUAAGCAAUUGUAUAUUGUAUUGAAGAUCAAUACAAGUGUAGUGACGCAGUUUAUGAAUCUAAGGCUGGAUAUUAAGAAAUUGUAUAUUGUAUUGUUAAUGUACAGUAGUCCAGGUACUGGAUAGAAAGAAGUUGUUUACUGUAAUGAGAAUUAUAUAAGCAGAAGCAAUGUGUAAAUACUGAUUUGAACUUUGAAUUAUGAUAGUGAUAAAUUUUAAUGUGUUAAUAAGGAACAUAAGUUCAGAGACUUUGUAUAAUAGAAGUUUUCUAUUGAAAUGAGAAAUGAUAUAAGUAUUUUGAUGCCAAUAUGGUGAUGUUGACUUGUACUGCUUGAAUUUGAAUGAGGUACACAAAUCCAGAGACUGGAUACAUAGGAUUCUUUAUUUAAUGAUUGAUGAUAUAAGUAUGUUGUCGUCGAUAUGUUCAUAUUGACUUGUAAUAUUGAAAUUUGAAUGUAUUGAUAAAGUAUGUGUAAGAUAAGAACCGAGACUGGAUAUAAGGAAUUGUUUAUUUGAUGGGGAACUAUAUAAAUGAAUUCAUGUCAAUAUGUUGAUUUUGACUUGUAUUGCUUGAAUUUGAAUGUAUUGGUAAGGUACCUACACAAGUCCGGAGACUGGAUAUAGAGAAUUGUUUAUUUAAUGGGGAAUGAUAAAAGUAUAUUGAUGUCAAAAUGUUGAUGUUGACUUGUAAUCGUUGAAUUUGAAUGUAUUUAUAAAGAAAUAAAUCCAGAGACUGGAUAUAAAACAUGUCGAUUAUUGAAAUAGGAAAUGACAUAAGUAUAUAGAUGCCAAUAUGUUGAUGUUGACUUGAAAUGGUUGAAUUUGAAUGUAUUUAUAAAGAAUAUAGAUCCAGAGACUGGAUAUAAAUAAAGUUGAUUAUUGAAAUAGGAUAUGAUAUAAGUAUAUAGAUGCCAAUAUGUUGAUGUUUACUUGUAAUUGUUGAAUUUGAAUGUAUUUAUAAAGAAAUAAAUCCAAAGACUGGAUAUAAAACAAGUCGAUUAUUGAAAUAGGAAAUUAUAUAAGUAUAUAGAUAUCAAUAUGUUGAUGUUGGCUUGAAAUGGUUGAAUUGGAAUGUAUUUAUAAAGAAUAUAAAUCCAGAGACUGGAUAUAAAACAAGUCGAUUAUUUAAAUAGGAAAAUAUAUAAGUAUAUAGAUGCCAAUAUGUUGAUGUUGACUUGUCAUGGUUAAAUUUGAAUGUAUUGAUAAGGUACAUAAGUCGAGAGACUUGAUAGAAGGAUCUUGAUGUCAAUUUGUUAACAUGACUAGAAGGCGUAGAUAGCUCCAAAUAGGAGUGAAUUCCUCGUUGCAGUCACAGUGAUAGUAAGAUUAACUUACUCUGUUAAACUUGAAUGUUUUGAUAAAGUAUACAAGUCCAAAUACUAGACGUGAAGUUGUUUACCGUAGUAAGAAUUUGUACAAGUAUAUGGUUGCCAAUUUGUUAAAAUGGCAAUGUACACAGGUCACAGUUUGGAUUCAAAAUGAAAUGAAAUGAAAAUAUUCGCAAAAAUUGUUUAUCGUAGUGAGAGUUUAUGCAAUUAUAUUGUUGACGAUUUGUUAGCAUGGCUGGAAGGCGUGGAUGGCUCCAGUUGGAGUGAAGGCCACGAUGCAGUCCGUCCUAGUUAAAGAUACGACUCUGGAAGGUUGGCACGAUCGUGAAGCCUUGUUGGUGGACAUCCUCUUGGCUUUGCGGUGAGGGGUCAAAUGCAGAUGUCGUGAGUUGAGAUUGGCUGGAAGGCGUGGAUGGCUCCAGUUGGAGUGAAGGCCACGAUGCAGUCCGUCCUAGUUAAAGAUACGACUCUGGAAGGUUGGCACGAUCGUGAAGCCUUGAUGGUGGACAUCCUCUUGGCUUUGCGGUGAGGGGUCAAAUGCAGAUGUCGUGAGUUGAGAUUGGCUGGAAGGCGUGGAUGGCUCCAGUUGGAGUGAAGGCCACGAUGCAGUCCGUCCUAGUUAAAGAUACGACUCUGGAAGGUUGGCACGAUCGUGAAGCCUUGUUGGUGGACAUCCUCUUGGCUUUGCGGUGAGGGGUCAAAUGCAGAUGUCGUGAGUUGAGAUUGGCUGGAAGGCGUGGAUGGCUCCAGUUGGAGUGAAGGCCACGAUGCAGUCCGUCCUAGUUAAAGAUACGACUCUGGAAGGUUGGCACGAUCGUGAAGCCUUGUUGGUGGACAUCCUCUUGGCUUUGCGGUGAGGGGUCAAAUGCAGAUGUCGUGAGUUGAGAUUGGCUGGAAGGCGUGGAUGGCUCCAGUUGGAGUGAAGGCCACGAUGCAGUCCGUCCUAGUUAAAGAUACGACUCUGGAAGGUUGGCACGAUCGUGAAGCCUUGUUGGUGGACAUCCUCUUGGCUUUGCGGUGAGGGGUCAAAUGCAGAUGUCGUGAGUUGAGAUUGGCUGGAAGGCGUGGAUGGCUCCAGUUGGAGUGAAGGCCACGAUGCAGUCCGUCCUAGUUAAAGAUACGACUCUGGAAGGUUGGCACUAUCGUGAAGCCUUGUUGGUGGACAUCCUCUUGGCUUUGCGGUGAGGGGUCAAAUGCAGAUGUCGUGAGUUUAGAUUGGCUGGAAGGCGUGGAUGGCUCCAGUAAGAGUGAAGGCCUCGAGGCAGUCCUAGGAACGCAAAUCUGUAAAGGUGGCACAGUCAUGAAUUCUUGCUGGCGAAUAACCUCUUGACUUUGACCUUUAACUUUGUACCAAAAUUAAAACCAAUUUGUAAAUGUGAACACCAUGUAGCAUUUUAAUUGUCACUUUACUCUCAUUUGUUUGUCGCGAUUCUACAUGAUCUUCGCAUGCUUUUACUGUAUGUAUCAAUACAUACAAAUUGUAAUACUUUAUUAUUUUUAAAAAGAGUAACCAUGGAGUUUCUUGCCCGUUCUUCUCCAUAGGAAGCUACUUUUGGAAUGGGCAACUAGAAUCAAACUUAGUUAUAAUUUUGACGUCCAUAAGUGCUUGUAAAGGCCUAAAUGAAAUAAAUGAUUUGACUUUGACUUUGAGAAGUUUGAGGACAAACUUAGUGGUCAGAAUGGCCGAAUGUUAGACUAAUAUUAUCCUGUGUUGUUCUGUAUGUUAUAUUCUCUUUUCAUACAUUAAGGAACUAUACUAUAUUUACCGAAGUAUACUAAAUCAUUUUAGUUUUAUACGGACAACACUACCUCUACUGUGAGGACAACACUAAAAAGAGAUUUUGACAGUUAGAGCGCGCGCUUCCCAUGCGCUUCCUUCGUGGACUGAUAAACUAUGUUUUCUUACGAUUGAUAUUAAAUUGUGUUUUAAAAGUGAAUACAAGAAGUUAUUGUGAUA